rnacentral:misc_RNA from 1 species
CGCACUCUACAACAGCACUGCAAUACUUAAUUAUAUUUUAUCAAAUUCUCCGGUAGAUAUAAAUCUAUCUUGCGGCACCGAUGCCGCUACCCCGCUCCACUGCGCCGCCGGCGGCGGCGCAGUUGACGCCGCCAGGCUCCUCAUCGCUGCCGGGGCAUCCCCUGAUUCCCUCGAUGCCUCUGGCCGCCGCCCGGCGGAUCUCAUCCCUCGCCUCUCCCCCAGAUCGCUGGCCUUCAGUUUCAAAUCCGGCAGCUCCGCUGCCGUGACGGAUGUAACACUCCCUGACAUCAAGAGUGGAAUUUACAGCUCCGACGAGUUUCGCAUGUACAGCUUCAAGAUAAAGCCAUGCUCCCGGGCCUAUUCACA